rnacentral:rRNA from 1 species
GAUGAACGCUGGCGGCGUGCCUAAUACAUGCAAGUCGAGCGAACAGAUGAGGAGCUUGCUCCUCUGACGUUAGCGGCGGACGGGAGAGUAACACGUGGAUAACCUACCUAUAAGACUGGGAUAACUUCGGGAAACAGGAGCUAAUACCGGAUAAUAUAUUGAACCGCAGGGUUCAAUAGUGAAAGACGGUUUUGCUGUCACUUAUAGAUGGAUCCGCGCCGCAUUAGCUAGUUGGUAAGGUAACGGCUUACCAAGGCAACGAUGCGUAGCCGACCUGAGAGGGUGAUCGGCCACACUGGAACUGAGACACGGUCCAGACUCCUACGGGAGGCAGCAGUAGGGAAUCUUGCGCAAUGGGCGAAAGCCUGACGGAGCAACGCCGCGUGAGUGAUGAAGGUCUUCGGAUCGUAAAACUCUUUUGUUAGGGAAGAACAAAUGUGUAAGUAACUAUGCACGUCUUGACGGUACCUAAUCAGAAAGCCACGGCUAACUACGUG